rnacentral:rRNA from 1 species
CCUACGGGGGGCAGCAGUGGGGAAUAUUGCACAAUGGGGGGAACCCUGAUGCAGCGACGCCGCGUGAGUGAAGAAGUAUUUCGGUAUGUAAAGCUCUAUCAGCAGGGAAAAUAAUGACGGUACCUGACUAAGAAGCCCCGGCUAACUACGUGCCAGCAGCCGCGGUAAUACGUAGGGGGCAAGCGUUAUCCGGAUUUACUGGGUGUAAAGGGGGCGUAGGUGGCAGGGCAAGUCAGAUGUGAAAGCCCGGGGCCCAACCCCGGAACUGCAUUGGAAACUGUCCGGCGGGAGGGCAGGAGAGGUAG